rnacentral:lncRNA from 10 species
GCGUAAUGCAACGUUCUAGGAAAGAGAGUAUUUCUUCUGGGUGUGGCCAACCCGGAUUUGUAGUUCCCAGGCCGGUGUUCCCGUAUGGUCUCACUCUGUCAUGCAUGAUGGACUGCAGUGGUGCAAUCAUGGCUCACUGUAGCUUCGACCACCCUGGCUCCGGUCAUCAUCCUACCUCAGCCUCCCAGGUAUGUGGGAUUACAGGUAUGUGCUAACAUGCUCAGCUAAUUUUUAAUUUUUUGUGGAAACAGGAUUUUGCCAUGUUGCUCAAGAUGAUCUCAAACUCCUGGCCUCAGGCAAUCCUUCUGCCUCAGCCUCCCAUCCUUCCCCCACAUACUGAGGCAAAGAUACAGGUGUGAACCACUGAAACUAUCAAAAGGGAAAAUUACAACACCUUUACUUAUACAGAUAAUUGGCUUUUAUUUGCAAGUCAUGAAGGAGCAUCCUCCAUUCUACAAAAUGGAGUGAUAGAUCCCACUGGCAAGUAGUAGAACGGUGGAUUUUGUAUGGUGAGAGCAAAGAUAUGAAACAACAGAAAAAUGACUAGUUGACAUGAGGUUACUUUUUUGAAAGGGAUAAAGCAGAGUAUGGUUCGUUAUUGCACUGAAUUGGGUAGACUGUAAUCUCUUGUUUUCAGAAAAAAAAGAUGGCUUUCAGGAUCUAUCUCUUUCCCUCAUAUUUCAGAUUAAUUUACCUGAUAUUAUGUGAAACUUAGCAUGAGUGACUCCAUUUUAGUUUGACCUGGUCUGUUGCUGCCUAAUUUUGGAGCUCAAUACAAAACCAUGGCCCCAUCAUUUUUGUUUGGCAGCACUGAAAACUAAAAUACACAAUUUUCACUGAUUCUCUGAGUCUUUAUUUCUUAAGGCUCUUAUGUCACCUGAAACUUCGUUGAAUAAAUUUGUUAUGUUUUUCCCUUGUUAAUUUGUUUUUAUUCAUAGUGGUGUCAGUCAUCAACCUUGUGAUCACUGAGGAAAAGAUACAAUAAUCCUUGCCUAUCCGAACUGGGAUCCUAAAAAUUAUGGAACGAAUUGUAGAAACUCAAGCAACUUUCUCCAAAGCCUAGGGUUCAGCAAGAGUAAGCAAGAGGCACUGAGCCGCUGGAGUCUGCACAUUGAUAAAUUUACUUACAGUCGUAAAUAAAUUGCAUCAUCUUCAGCUAGUAACACAGAGUCUAAUUUUUAUAGCGGCAUACUUGCCUCCACGACUUUCCUAGACACCAGAAAGAAAGGCGAGAGCCAGCCUUAGCCUAAUCAAGAACCAUGAUCCAAAAAGGAGUGGGAGGAACCUAGCGGCCACGUGGGAAUCCCAGCCCUCCUAUUAAGCCUACCCUCUUUGCAAAUUGUGACUGUGAGCUCCUGGUUUACAGAAAUAUAUCCCAGAACUCAAGCAACAUGAGCCACUAUAAUUGUCUCUGGAAGGUGACCCAUUUGCAGAUAGGGACUUCCCUGAAGGUUGGGGCCCUCAUGAGCUAUGCUUUCCACCAAGUUGUCUCUAUAAGGACCAGUUCCAGGACCUCAGGGAGGAAAUUUCACUUUCUGCCUUGGUGGAAUGUGAAGUGAGUGGCUCCCCGGCCACACCCCACCCUCCAUAAAAUAGAAGGUAAAUCCCAACUGCCAAAAGCUUUUUGUCCUCCUCUCAGGGAUACUAAUUAAAGCAGUUGGGCUACUUUUUCAUGCAUUUCAUCUCAAGUUGUCUUUCUGCCUAUCUCCUGAGCCCAGCGAAAGAGUUCCUUAAAAUAACCCUCAAACCUCUGUAGUAAAGGACCACACAAAUAACGAAUGCCAUGAAAAAACAGGGCUAGAGGUUUCAGAGGAUGAGAAAGGAAGAGCAGCCAGAACACUGGCUGUCUAGGUAUGCUACUGGUGCCUGACUCUGCACCUGUGUGUGUCUGUGUGCUGUGUUCCAAUGGCAGAGCAUCGGGGCCACCAGAACUCUCUCAGCUACCGCACAUGGAGAGGGAGGAGUGAUAAAGAGAAAUCAAGAAACUCAGUUUCUUUGAAAUGGAAAUCAAUAAACUCAGUUUCCUCAAAGUUCAAAAUACAUGAGACUGCCUACCCUCCUUGGAAGGCAAGGU